AAGGAAUACCCUUCUAUCCCUACUCAGCCUAUGGGUUUCUCUUCUCACAAGUGGGUUGGGUUGUAAAUACACUGCAUGUUGAGAGGGAGUAUUUAGGGUUGCUUAGGUUUCUACUCUGUUUUCUUAUUUGUGUUUUGUAAGGUUAUUUAUUGCUAUUUCUGAGAGACUAUGUGAAUCGGCUUGAAGUCUGUCUUUGAAUGGCUAAGGAUAAGUUUUGGUGAUGGUAGCUCAUAAGGUCACACGAUGGAAUGGUCGAUUUGGAAGGUGCAAGCGGGACACCAAAGAGGCCCACCUCUGUUGCUCUUUGCAACUUCCGGUGCUAAUGAGAUGUUCUGGCCUUGCCUAUACCUGGGGUUGCACUUUUUUCUCCAUGAAUGUUUUGCCUUUGGGGGUUCUACUACCUAUCCAAUGAAAAUAAGAGUUUGCCUACUCAGUUGCUGUGAGCGUAGUUGUGUAGUCGUUUCUUGCCCAGUUUCUAUCGCAUUAGAGUGCUAGUGUUAGAAAUGGAAGGCAUCUUACGCUCUGUUUGGGUGGGG
rnacentral:misc_RNA from 1 species